rnacentral:rRNA from 1 species
CGAUCGGUAGCCGGACUGAGAGGUUGAACGGCCACAUUGGGACUGAGACACGGCCCAGACUCCUAUGGGAGGCAGCAGUGGGGAAUAUUGCACAAUGGGGGAAACCCUGAUGCAGCGACGCCGCGUGGAGGAAGAAGGUCUUCGGAUUGUAAACUCCUGUUGUUGAGGAAGAUAAUGACGGUACUCAACAAGGAAGUGACGGCUAACUACGUGCCAGCAGCCGCGGUAAAACGUAGGUCACAAGCGUUGUCCGGAAUUACUGGGUGUAAAGGGAGCGCAGGCGGGAAGACAAGUUGGAAGUGAAAUCCAUGGGCUUAACCCAUGAACUGCUUUCAAAACUGUUUUUCUUGAGUAGUGCAGAGGUAGGCGGAAUUCCCGGUGUAGCGGUGGAAUGCGUAGAUAUCGGGAGGAACACCAGUGGCGAAGGCGGCCUACUGGGCACCAACUGACGCUGAGGCUCGAAAGUGUGGGUAGCAAACAGGAUUAGAUACCCUGGUAGUCCACACUGUAAACGAUGAUUACUAGGUGUUGGAGGAUUGACCCCUUCAGUGCCGCAGUUAACACAAUAAGUAAUCCACCUGGGGAGUACGACCGCAAGGUUGAAACUCAAAGGAAUUGACGGGGGCCCGCACAAGCAGUGGAGUAUGUGGUUUAAUUCGACGCAACGCGAAGAACCUUACCAAGUCUUGACAUCCGUUGACCGCUGUAGAAAUACAGUUUUCCUUCGGGACAGCGAGACAGGUGGUGCAUGGUUGUCGUCAGCUCGUGUCGUGAGAUGUUGGGUUAAGUCCCGCAACGAGCGCAACCCUUAUGGUCAGUUACUACGCAAGAGGACUCUGGCCAGACUGCCGUUGACAAAACGGAGGAAGGUGGGGAUGACGUCAAAUCAUCAUGCCCUUUAUGACUUGGGCUACACACGUACUACAAUGGCGUUAAACAAAGAGAAGCAAGACCGCGAGGUGGAGCAAAACUCAGAAACAACGUCCCAGUUCGGACUGCAGGCUGCAACUCGCCUGCACGAAGUCGGAAUUGCUAGUAAUCGUGGAUCAGCAUGCCACGGUGAAUACGUUCCCGGGCCUUGUACACACCGCCCGUCACACCAUGAGAGCCGGGGGGACCCGAAGUCGGUAGCCUAACCGCAAGGAGGACGCCGCCGAAGGUAAAACUGGUGAUUGGGGUGAAGUCGGAACAAGGUAGCCGUAGGAGAACCUGCGGCUG